GGGGAUCGAAAGACCUUGCGCUAAAGGAGCGGCCGAUGUCUGAUUAGCUAGUUGGUGGGGUAAAGGCUUACCAAGGCAACGAUCAGUAGUUGGUCUGAGAGGACGRCCAACCACACUGGGACUGAGACACGGCCCAGACUCCUACGGGAGGCAGCAGUGGGGAAUUUUGGACAAUGGGCGAAAGCCUGAUCCAGCCAUGCCGCGUGAGUGAAGAAGGCCUUCGGGUUGUAAAGCUCUUUYAGUCGGAAAGAAAGAGUYGCAAUGAAUAAUUGUGAUUUAUGACGGUACCGACAGAAAAAGCACCGGCUAACUACGUGCCAGCAGCCGCGGUAAUACGUAGGGUGCGAGCGUUAAUCGGAAUUACUGGGCGUAAAGGGUGCGCAGGCGGUUUUGCAAGUCAGAUGUGAAAKCCCCGGGCUUAACCUGGGAAUUGCGUUUGAAA
rnacentral:rRNA from 1 species